GUGAUUGCCUCGGCAGCAUAUACACUAAAAUUGGAAUCAUCCACAGAAGGUUAGUUAGCCUGGCUCCUGUGCAAGGAUGACAUGAAAAUUUAUGAAAUGUUAUGUAUAUUU
ensembl:snRNA U6 U6 spliceosomal RNA